ensembl:lincRNA Meg3 maternally expressed 3
GACGAAGAGCUGGAAUAGAGCUCGCCUCGGCUCUGCUGGCCUUGGCUGCAGCUCUUCCAGAAACCCGGGGCGCCCACAGAAGAAUCUCAUACCUGGCUCUCUCUUCAGGGAUGACAUCAUCGGCUCACACCAGUCUUCCAGGACCACCUUCUGGAUGCCAAGGCUGCUGCUCGAGUACCUGCUGUGCACCUCUACCUCCUGGUACCCCAGCCACUCCCUCAAGUUGCCUGCAUGUUAUAUGGCCUAGCCAAGGAGCACGGAUUCCAGGAACCCACUACCAUACAGAGCAACUCCUUGUGGACCCCCCUGGGAUCAGGACAGCGAGGGACAAGCGACAAAGAGGAUCAUCAGUGGCCAGCUAGUCUCUCUGGGGUUCAAACCUUGAACCAGUGCCCUAGUGAGGGGGCACUGGCCAUGGCCCUUGACCUUUGCUCUGCUUGUGUCUUGAGUCUGAGCCCUUUCCUGUACAUCUGUGCUCGUGUUCAUCUGCUAGUGAACUGGAGUGCUGCCCUCCCCGAGGAGGGUCGUCCCUUGUGACUGAUCAUGCUGUCCUAACAAUGUCCUGAGCAAAAGGGUCCCUUUGGGAACCUCUCAGGAGGGGGACCCGGGUCAGGGGCGACCAGCAUCUUGCUGGCAACUCCGUGGGUGGGGUGGGGUGGGGUGCUUCCUUCUGGAAUGAGCACGUGGCUGACCCCCCCAAGGCAUGUCCCCUCCCCCUCCUCCACCCACCUUCUCGGAGAUGUCCCUUUUGGGGUAGUGGGGACAUUAGGAGCAACCUCCUAGGGUUGUUGUGAGAAUUAAAUGAACUGCAGCAGCCUGAGGCAGGGCUGGGCAGAGACCUCAGCACAUGUUUGUUGAAAGGUUUGCAGGUGGAUCUAGUCCUCCCGUUCAUGGCUCAUGUGUCUCAACCAUUCUCUCGCAGACUCCUGCAGCCCCUAUGCCCAGGGCUCUCCUUGCGCCAGAGGUAGGUGGGAAAGAGAACUGGGAGAGCCCGGACUCACUCAUGAGAUUGAACUUAAAUUCACACGGAGGACACUUGGACUCUUGCCACAUUGGCCCCGGCUUCUCGAGGCCUGUCUACACUCGCUGCUUUCCUUCCUCACCUCCAAUUUCCCCUCCAACCCACUGCUUCCUGACUCGCUCUUCUCCAUCGAACGGCUCUCGCUCAGGUUUAAGGCUUGGCUUGCUGGCCCUGGAGAUCCCGUCGCCGUCUUCGUCGAACUCGAAAUCCUAGCCAUCGUCCUUCCCUGGCCUGUCGCGUCUUCCUGUGCCAUUUGCUGUUGUGCUCAGGUUCCACGAGCUGCCCAUCUCCACAGAAGAGCAGCUGGCAUUGCCCACCGGCCAUGCCGGCUGAAGAAAAGAAGACUGAGGACCCCAGGAUGCCCAGCGCGAGGACCCCAGGAAGCCCAGAGCGAGGACUCCACCCACGACGCCCAGCGCGAGGACUUCACGCACAACACGUUGCAACCCUCCUGGAUUAGGCCAAAGCCAUCAUCUGGAAUCCUGCGUGGGACCCUGGACACACGGACACAGACACCUGCCCCCAGGACCCUCCAACUGUAAAUCCCUCCACAGCCACGGGGACGCCUUGCACAUUUCCUGUGGGACAUGCUGGACCCAAGACUCUGGACCCUGGCCUCCCCUUGAGUAGAGAGACCCACCUACUGACUGAUGAACUGCGCUGACCCUGGGGUCAGGCAUGUGGCCUUGAUCCCUACCCAUGGACCCUGAGACUUGGGGGGGUGGGAGAAAGGCUGUUGUGUCUUCACUGUUGAGUCUACAUCUGUGAAAUGGGCUCAGGUUCCUACCUCACAGGGCUGUUGUGAGGCAGCCACGAUGUGCUUAGAAGCAUGGGGCCUGGUGGCUCAUGGUGCUUUCAAUAAAUUUCUUGUUUUAA